rnacentral:lncRNA from 1 species
AAUGCUGUUUUGUAUGUGUAGGUCCUUCUUGUCUUCCUCAUGGAGCAUGAUUAAUACUCGUGUGUGUGUGUGUGUGUGUGUGUGUGUAUGUGUGUGUGUGUAGUUCCUUCUUGUCUUCCUCAUGGAGCAUGGUUAAUG